AACGAACGCUGGCGGCAUGCCUAACACAUGCAAGUCGAACGAGACCUUCGGGUCUAGUGGCGCACGGGUGCGUAACGCGUGGGAACCUGCCCUUAGGUUCGGAAUAACUCCCCUAAAGGGGGGCUAAUACCGGAUAAUGUCUUCGGACCAAAGAUUUAUCGCCUUUGGGUGGGCCCGCGUUGGAUUAGCUAGUUGGUAGGGUAAAAGCCUACCAAGGCUACGAUCCAUAGCUGGUUUGAGAGGAUGAUCCGCCACACUGGGACUGAGACACGGCCCAGACUCUUACGGGAGGCAGCAGUGGGGAAUAUUGGAAAACGGCCGAAAGGCUGAUCCAGCACUGCCGCGUGAGUGAUGAAGGCGUUAGGGUUGUAAAGCUCUUUUACCCGGGAUGAUAAUGACAGUACCGGGAGAAUAAGCUCCGGCUAACUCCGUG
rnacentral:rRNA from 1 species